CCUACGGGAGGCAGCAGUAGGGAAUCUUCCACAAUGAGCGAAAGCCUGAUGGAGCAACGCCGCGUGGGUGAAGAAGGUCUUCGGAUCGUAAAACCCUGUUGUUAGAGAAGAAAAUGCGUGAGAGUAACUGUUCACGUUUCGACGGUAUCUUACCAGAAAGCGACGGCUAACUACGUGCCAGCAGCCGCGGUAAUACAUAGGUGGCAAGCGUUAUCCGGAUUUAUUGGGCGUAAAGGGGUCGCAGGCGGUCUUUUAAGUCUGAUGUUAAAUCCUUCGGCUUAACCGGAGUCGUGCUUUGGAAACUGGGAGACUUGAGUGAAGAAGAGGAGAGUGGAACUCCAUGUGUAGCGGUGAAAUGCGUAGAUAUAUGGAAGAACACCAGUGGCGAAAGCGGCUCUCUGGUCUGUAACUGACGCUGAGGUUCGAAAGCGUGGGUAGCAAACAGGAUUAGAUACCCUUGUAGUC
rnacentral:rRNA from 1 species